ACGACUUCCCCACGACCCCCCCCCCCCCAUUUAAAUUUUGUUUUGUGUCCGCUUUCUGGUGUCUUUGGACUUGUCUGGAAACUCUUCUGUGACCUUAGUCGGCCUUCAAAGUCUCUUUAACACCCUCAUGGAGGUCCACUGACCUUUGACCCAUCUCAAUCUUCAAGCCCCGGUGCACCCUGGAUGUGAUCUUCCCAGCUGUCCUUCACUAUGGUGCUAGGACACCAUGGACCCUGGGUGUAUCCACAGCAGAGGACGCGAGCCAGGCCCCGGGCGACGACUUCUACCCCUCGGUCUUCGAGAUCUCCACCCAGAACCGCUUCGCUCCCCUCCGCGAGACUGGACGUGACGCUGUGAUCAUCGGAGACUCCAUCGUCCGGCACGUCCAUGCUACGUUAGCCAAAGUUGUUUUGUGUCCGCUUUCUGGUGUCUUUGGACUUGUCUGCAAACUCUUCUGUGACCUUAGUUGGCCUUCAAAGUCUCUUUAACGCCCUCAUCGAGGCCCAGUGACCUUUGACCCAUCUCAAUCUUCAAGAGCCUCUUCGAGUUGAAGAUCAGCAGGAAGUGUAAAAGACUGUCCCAGACAAACCUGGUCAAAGGUGAAGAGAGGGUUCUCCCUGUACGCAGCGCUCAGAUUCUCCCAACUCCAGCCAGGAACUAAUGUAAAAACAGCACAGAAAUGCUGGCACGGGAGACGAUGUCUCCGCCAGUCCGUGCACAUGAAGGCAUCUCAUCGUCUUUUCCAAAGUUCACCUUUUUUUUUUCCUGUGAAGAUUGAUUUUGAACAUUGAAGACGUUCUCUCCAGCAGAUGUUAUGCCACUCACAUUGAAGAGCAGUGAUCUUGGUGCCUUUUCAUAAUGUGUUGAGCCAUAAUUCUUGGUCUGUAUCCUGCAUAACAAGGCACAUAUGUGCUGUAUUUGCCAGAGCCACUUGAGCAUUUGAUAUGCAAUUCAACAUACCCGUAUGAAGGGAAAAAAGAUUUUUAGUUAGUAAAGAUAAUGUUCAGUUUCCUAAGCGUUAAAUGAA